AGCUCAUAGUAUCAGAUACGCUCAUAGAACCAGCUCAUAGUAUCAGAUACGCGUGGGAACCAGCUCAUAGUAUCAGAUACGCGUAGGAACCAGCUCAUAGUAUCAGAUACGCUCAUAGAACCAGCUCAUAGUAUCAGAUACGCUUAUAGAACCAGCUCAUAGUAUCAGAUAUGCUCAUAGAACCACCUCAUAGUCUGUGACGUUUCAGCUUGUGUGUACUGUCUUCUGCUGGGUGGAAAACGUUCUCCCAGCUCAAAUGAGUCAGCCACCUUGCUGCCUUACUAGUGACUUAUUUUGCUUAAACUUUGAAAGUCUUUGUGUUAUAUUUGCUAAGGAUAGAAUGAAGAAAGUUCCACUCACCAAGCCAGAUUCCCUCACAUAUAAAUGAUUCUGGGAAGUUCUUUGAUUGUAGAAUAAUUAAUUUUGCUAUAAAAAUUUUGCAGUUAUCUGGGACACUGGUUAAAAAGAGGAACUUGAGUUACUAUGGUAAUGUCUAUAAUUUACAUAUAUUUAUGUAUCUCUUAUUGAAGCCAAAGGUCAAGAUUCAGUCAAACCAGGGAACUCAGCAAGUCAUGACCAACUGGCAUUUUUUGUAUGGUCUUGUUCCUGAAUAGCUGGAUUUUUUUCUUCUCUGAGAAAGUGACCUGUCUUCCCUCUCCUUUCAGUAAGUCAGUUCUGAUUUAUUUGGAGUCAUGGCACAGUACUAGAUGAUUCAAGCAGAGGAAGAAAAAAAGAUCUGUGGCACUUUAUUUUCCACUUUCCCCUGAUAAAAGUCCUAAAGGUAUCUAA